CUGUUUGUUGUGGAACUUAAGAAAGAAUUCAGGUUUUGGAACUCAUCCACUUUUUCCAAGCCCCACUGUUUCCACUACCAUCUCCAACUUGCAUUGCCAGAGGAGAUCUCUUUGAUCCAAUGCAAUCCAGCUACCUUCUCUGUUGUUCAGGCUGUGUGAAUUUAUCUGUCUUCAAGUACACUGAUUCUAUUCCCUGUCAUCUGUAUUGUACUACUGAGCCCAUCCAAUACUAAUUGCAAACAACACUGCAAACAUCAA